rnacentral:lncRNA from 1 species
UCCAAAUUUUGUUGAGAAAAGGCAAACAUUUCUUCCUCUCUUUCUAGUCUAAAUGACUGUGGCAUUACAGAUGUUGCACAUUUAACCCAGUCGUUGGCCAAGACAAAAGCAUUGACGUUUUUAAAAGAACUUGAUCUGAGUAACAAUAACAUCGGAUACUCGAAAAAGCAGCUCACUGACGUGCUACAAGACUCAAACUGUAGUCUGAGCCUGGAGAAAGAACCCUGGCUCAGCUGGAGCACUGCAAAUAUCAUUAAUAGUAUUGGUGGAUGGUUAACUCGUUCUAAAGCUCAAGAGAAACCUGUGAAAUCAACAGAACAAGAAAAGUGACCAACAGAUGAGGAAUCCUCAGAAGGUUCUCACUAUAGUACUGUUAUAAAUGCAGCUCCAGAGGAACCUGUGAAAUCAACAGAACAAGAAAAGUCACCAACAGAUGAGGAAUCCUCAGAAGGUUCUCACUAUAGUACUGUUAUACAUGCAUAUGUGUGAUUGUAAUUUUGGUGAGAUAUUGCUAAACAGCAAGCAAUAAAUACAAACACUGGCAAACUUACAGCUACUACAGCUUAAAAUAGCACUGCUUUAACAAAUCUAAAGUUAUUAUAGCUCUUAUACAUUACUAUUUAAAAAUUAUUACUAAUGCAUACAGGUGGUAAAGGAUUAGACCUUCAAAUUAAAUAAUGCAGCAUUAAUAGAAACACAUGUACAUGAGUAAUGUUGAGUGAUUAUGUUGGUUUUGUAUUUAUCUGAAUGGUAUUUUAAAUUUUUUUACAGGUGAAACAGAGAAGGGAGAUGAGGCUAGUGAGUGCUCAAAUGUGGUGGAUUGGCUGGAUAUAAGUCCAUAAGAUAAGGCCUUCAUCAUAAUGAUGCUUGGAUUAAACUCGUCCAUAAUGAAACAAUUACAAUAUUGCUAAUCAUGACCGUGAUUGUAAUUUAGCACUUAAAUAUAUCAAAUGAUAUAAACUGAAAGUGUAAAAUUAAAAUAUUGUGGGCUACAUGUGCACAGAUUCAAAUCAGUAGUAUGCACUGAUCUACACUGAAAAAAGGUCUUUUGAAUUUACUUAAUUUUAUUGUGUACAUCAGUCCCACAUGAUCAGAAUGUUGUCAACUGACAUAAUUGUCUUCUUUUUCUCAACUUGAUUUUUUAAUGAUAAUAUUAAGGUAUUAAGCAACCUAACUUGCUUUAAGUAAACUCCAUCCAAAUGUAC